rnacentral:rRNA from 1 species
AGUAAAUAGAUACCCGGGUAGUCCACGCCGUAAACGAUGUCGACUUGGAGGUUGUGCCCUUGAGGCGUGGCUUCCGGAGCUAAACGCGUUAAAGUCGACCGCCUGGGGAGUACGGCCGCAAGGUUAAAACUCAAAUGAAUUGACGGGGGCCCGCACAAGCGGUGGAGCAUGUGGUUUAAUUCGAUGCAACGCGAAGAACCUUACCUACUCUUGACAUCCAGAGAACUUAGCAGAGAUGCUUUGGUGCCUUCGGGAACUCUGAGACAGGUGCUGCAUGGCUGUCGUCAGCUCGUGUUGUGAAAUGUUGGGUUAAGUCCCGCAACGAGCGCAACCCUUAUCCUUUGUUGCCAGCGGUUCGGCCGGGAACUCAAAGGAGACUGCCAGUGAUAAACUGGAGGAAGGUGGGGAUGACGUCAAGUCAUCAUGGCCCUUACGAGUAGGGCUACACACGUGCUACAAUGGCGCAUACAAAGAGAAGCGACCUCGCGAGAGCAAGCGGACCUCAUAAAGUGCGUCGUAGUCCGG